rnacentral:tRNA from 3 species
GGAGAGGUGACCGAGCGGUUUAAGGUGCACGCUUGGAAAGCGUGUGUACGUGAAAGCGUACCGAGGGUUCGAAUCCCUCCCUCUCCGCCA